rnacentral:rRNA from 1 species
ACCAACAGGGAUUGCCUCAGUAACGGCGAGUGAAGCGGCAAAAGCUCAAAUUUGAAAUCUGGCUCUCUUUGAGGGUCCGAAUUGUAAUUUGUAGAGGAUGCUUUGGGUGCGACCGCGGCGCAAGUCCCUUGGAACAGGGCGUCGCAGAGGGUGAGAACCCCGUCUUGAGUCGCCGGUACGCGCCCAUGCAAAGCUCCUUCGACGAGUCGAGUUGUUUGGGAAUGCAGCUCAAAGUGGGUGGUAAAUUUCAUCUAAAGCUAAAUAUUGGCCGGAGACCGAUAGCGCACAAGUAGAGUGAUCGAAAGGUUAAAAGCACCUUGAAAAGGGAGUUAAACAGCACGUGAAAUUGUUGAAAGGGAAGCGUUUGCGACCAGACUCGGACGCGGGGGUUCAGCGGACAUUCUUGCCCGUGCACUCUCCCGUGUUCCGGGCCAGCAUCAGUUUUGACGGCUGGUCAAAGGCCUCCGGAAUGUGUCGUCCUCCGGGACGUCUUAUAGCCGGGGGUGCAAUGCAGCCAGUUGGGACUGAGGAACGCGCUUCGGCUCGGAUGCUGGCGUAAUGGUCGUAAGCG